rnacentral:rRNA from 1 species
GUGAACGCUGGCGGUAGGCCUAACACAUGCCAGUCGAACGGCAGCACAGUAAGCGCUUGCUCUUACGGGUGGCGAGUGGCGGACGGGUGAGGAAUACAUCGGAAUCUACUUUUUCGUGGGGGAUAACGUAGGGAAACUUACGCUAAUACCGCAUACGACCUACGGGUGAAAGCAGGGGAUCUUCGGGCCUUGCGCGAUUGAAUGAGCCGAUGUCGGAUUAGCUAGUUGGCGGGGUAAAGGCCCACCAAGGCGACGAUCCGUAGCUGGUCUGAGAGGAUGAUCAGCCACACUGGAACUGAGACACGGUCCAGACUCCUACGGGAGGCAGCAGUGGGGAAUAUUGGACAAUGGGCGCAAGCCUGAUCCAGCCAUACCGCGUGGGUGAAGAAGGCCUUCGGGUUGUAAAGCCCUUUUGUUGGGAAAGAAAAGCAGCAGGUUAAUACCCCGCUGUUCUGACGGUACCCAAAGAAUAAGCACCGGCUAACUUCGUG